rnacentral:rRNA from 1 species
AGAGUUUGAUCCUGGCUCAGAGUGAACGCUGGCGGCGUGCUUAACACAUGCAAGUCGAACGCGAAAGGGUAGCGAUACCCGAGUAGAGUGGCGAACGGGUGAGUAAAGUGUGGGUAAUUUGCCUUUCAGAGGGGGACAACUCGGGGAAACCUGGGCUAAUACCCCAUAACAUUGCUUGGUUUUCGGAUCGAGUAAUCAAAAGAUGGCCUCUAUUUAUAAGCUAUUGCUGGAAAAUGAGCUCACAUCCUAUCACGCUUGUUGGUGGGGUAACGGCCCACCAAGGCGACGACGGGUAGCCGGCCUGAGAGGGUGUCCGGCCACACUGGAACUGAGACACGGUCCAGACUCCUACGGGAGGCAGCAGUGGGGAAUUUUUCGCAAUGGGGGCAACCCUGACGAAGCAACGCCGCGUGGAGGAUGAAGGCGCUAGCGGUUGUAAACUCCUGUCUAGCGGGGACGAAAAUUUUCAGGUUGAAUAAUCCUGGAGAUUGACUGUACCGCUGGAGGAAGCUCCGGCUAACUCCGUGCCAGCAGCCGGCGGUAAUACGGAGGGAGCAAGCGUUACUCGAAUUAUUGGGCGUAAAGGGCGCGUACGUGACUUUUCAAGUCUUGUUGUGAAGGCCCACGGUUACCCGUGGAAGUGACACAUGAACUUGUUUAGUCUGAGUUCCGAGGAGCAGGCCGAAUUCCUGGGUAACCGGUGAAUGCCGGUAGAUUUCCGGAGGGAAUCACAGUGGCGAGGCGGCCUCUGAACGAUUACUGACGUUGAGGGCCGGAAGGCAGGGGAGCUAACCGGAUAGAUUACCCGCGUAGUCCUGGCCGUAACCGAUGUGCACUUGUGUGGAGCCGGUUUCCGGUUCGUGGCCGUAGUAACGCCGAUAAGUGCACUCGCCUGGAGGAGUACGGUCGCAAGGCUGAAACUCAAAGGAAUUGACGGGGGCCCGCACAAGCGGUGGAGCAUGUGGUUCAAUUCGAUGCAACGCGAAGAACCUUACCUGGGUUUGAACUGUGCUUGCAAGAUCCCAGAGAUGGAUACCCCUAGCAAUAGGCAAGUACAGAGGUGCUGCAUGGCUGUCGUCAGUUCGUGUCGUGAGAUGUUGGGUUACGUCCCCGCAACGAACGCAACCCUUGCUGUUAGUUGCUCGUCCGUAAGGUCAGCACUCUAAUAGGACUGCCGGUGAUAAACCGGAGGAAGGUGUGGAUGACGUCAAGUCAUCAUGGCCUUUAUGUCCAGGGCUACACACGUGCUACAAUGGCCGGGAACAGAGGGUCGCAAGACCGCGAGGUCAAGCCAAUCCCAGAAAACCGGCCUCAGUUCGGAUUGCAGUCUGCAACUCGACUGCAUGAAGUUGGAAUCGCUAGUAAUCGCGGAUCAGCAUGCCGCGGUGAAUACGUCUCCGGGCCUUGUACACACCGCCCGUCACACCACGAAAGUGGGUUGUACCCGAAGUCGCCGCGCUAACCCUAUGGGAAGCAGGUGCCCAAGGUAUGAUUCAUGAUUGGGGUGAAGUCGUAACAAGGUAACC